UCUCCAUCUGUUGCCCAGGCUGGAGUGCAGUGGUGCGAUCUCGGCUCACUGCAACCUCCGCCACCUGGGUUCAAGUGAUUUUCCUGCCUCAGCCUCCGGAGCAGCUGGGAUUACAGGCACGCGUCACCACACCUGGCUAAUUUUUGUAUUUUUCGUAGAGACAGAGUUUCACCAUGUUGGCCAGGCUGGUCUCCAAAUCCUGACCUCAGAUGAUCCACCCACCUGGGACUCCCAAAGUGCUGGGAUGACAGACAGGCGUGAGCCACUGCACCCGGCCAAUAAUGGUUAUUUCUAGCUAGAUACUACUGUCACGUUUCAAGAUGGCUCACUUAAACCUGUACUUCUGGCAGGAAAGAGACCCAAACCCAUGAAGAAUGAGAUACGUGUACAGUUUUGAUUAUAAAACCAAAGAAUAAUGGCUUCACAAGAUGACGGCUGGGCUCCUGGGCUGCCUUCAGUGUCUUUAAACAGGUAAUACAGAUCUUGCUUUCUUCUCUCUCUCUCUCUCACAGAGAGAUCUUGACUGAGACAGACACACCCCAAGUGUGCAGCAUUUGAGGCGCUCCGAGACCCUCAUGAGCUUGGGUCCUCCAUGGCUGCCUCGCCACUAUAUGAGGAAGCUUCGGGAUGUGUGAAGGCAGACCCGACUUCAGGACCUCAUUCAGAGCGAGAGCCUGGGAACACUGGUGUGAGGCAGCACCGUGCCCUCGCCGUGCACCCAGGGGGUUUUGUGAGACGAGAGAUAGAGUCUUGCUAUGUUGUCCAGGCUGGCACUGAACUCUUGGGCUCCAACGAUCCUCCUGCCCCGGCCUCCUGAGUAGCUGGGAUUAUAGGCACAAGUCACCAUGCCCAGCCGGAAUAAUCUGAAGGAAAGAUGGGUAUAUUCAAGAUGACUUUGCUGCUGGAAAUAUGACAGAAUAAUGUGGUAUCUUCCUCUGCACUUCCAAGCUCUUUCACACUCAGGCUCCUCCUGGCUUUUCUGCCUCAGACACCAUAAACUGUGGUUGCUUCUCCAGCUCUGUUACAGUUCAGACUUGAGGGGAGGUGACAAGAGCUAACAUGUUACCAUGGGGAGCCUGGCUGACAUUUCCGAAACUGAAGACUCUAUGGAAGCCUCAUGCUAUUGCAAUGUGUACAUCAAAAGUAAAGUACCCCAGGUUAAAACUAUGAGGAAGUUGCCAUCUUUACUUCCAGGAGCAAAGACACUGAAACUGUCCCCUGUAAGCCCCUUAAUUUCAUACAGUCCUCUGACUGCCCCCCCCCCCCAACCCUGGCUACUUUUUUUUGAAAUAAGGUCUCACUCUGUCAUCCAGGCUGGAGUGCAGUGGCAAAAUCACAAUACCCUGCAGCCUUGACCUCAUGGGCUCAAGCAGUCCUCCCACUUCAGCCUCCUGGGUAGCUGGGACUACAGGCUUGCACUACCACACCCAGCUUAUUUUUUGUAGAGACAGAGUUUCGUCAUGUUGCCCAGGCUGGUCUCAGGAGUCACUCCUGAGCUCAAGUGAUCCGCCUGCCUUGGCCUCCCAAAGUGCUGGGAUUACAGGCGUGAGCCACUAUGUCUGGUCCUCUGACCCUUUUAGCAGGAAAUCCAGCCCAGCCCCUGAACGGCAUGUUAGACAGUUCAACAAAGCCUUCUAGAAGACCAAAGAAGACUCAUAGGAAUAAGCCUCUUGCUGAUUAAUGGAAACAUGACCAUUUGUGGAGAAAGUGCAAUCUGCAUUGAACACCUUUAGGGGAACCUGUCAUUUAAGACUUCAAGCAUUACCAUGAAAACUUCCUCUGAAAAACCUUACAGACAUCUCUGUAAAACAGAUUUAAAAAGAAACACAUUUCUGCUCAAUUGGUACACAUCAAAUGGUGAUUUAAGAGCAAGGCUAGGAAACCAGAAGAUGAUAUGCAUAUACAUAAAGUUGCCACUAUUCCAAAUAGUAAAAUAAAGACAAAGUCAAUGGUCCUAGAAGAGCUGGUGGGUUGUGGAGCCAGGAGAGAAAGGCAGCUCCCUUCACCUUCCCUGUACAUUCCAGGAGGCCCUAGAAUGACCUAGAUGGUGUUACGCACAAAGCCCUCCUUUUCCCAUCCCGCCAUCAUCUCAGGAGCAAAUGGCCACACUCGGGUAUACGGAGCAGCUCAAGCAACCAGGUCUUCCCGCCAUUCCCCUGAAAGGGCUGGUUUUGCCAAACGCCAGAGCCACAUUG
rnacentral:lncRNA from 1 species